rnacentral:lncRNA from 1 species
ACAGUAGUGGUCGUGCAAUGUCGGUUCACUUAAGCUUUCGAUCCAACCCAUGUAGCGAGCUUUAGGUCAAUGACUCCCAAACUACUAGGGCUUUAGGGCACUAGGUGUAGAACACCCCUAAGGACUUAUUAACCCGAGCUGAAAAAGGCUACGAAACCAACUAACCACCCUGCCUCAUGCCAAAACUUUACCGUUUGACGCGAGAAUCACUGCUGAUUAGGCAGGACUGGCCCGGUUACUAGGCAAAACCUCGGGUGAGACAAUUAUUACUUUAUUCACAAUAAUAACUAACUUUACUUAAAACAAAAAUUAAAAAUUAAAAAUAAACUAAGACUAAAAGCAAGUGUUUCAAUCUCACUCCCCACAAACCAUGUUGGUGUGAUGUGCAAAGUUCAAAGUAUAAUUCAUGAAUUAGUGUCUAAGCAACGAUAAAUAGAAAAAACUCUACUGUGGGAUUAAUCUUCACCAUGUCUAUUUGUUCUAACGUUUAAAAUAAUCUAUGGAUAUUAACUUAACAAGAAUGAAAACUUUUAACCGACACAAAAAUUAAAAACCUAAAAUGUUACUUUUAACCGACACAAAAAUUAAAAACCCAAAAUAUACUAAGAUUAGGGUAAAAUAUAUAAACCCUUGGCAACCAUUACUGAGGCAAAAAUAGAAGACUUCGUAUGGAAGAACAUCCUUUGCAGAUUUGGCAUUCCCAAUGUGAUAGUCACUGACAACGGGCGACAGUUCGACAACAAUAAGUUCAGGAUGUUCUGCUCUAAGUUCAACAUC